GGGCCACAGGAGCGGCUGCAGGAUGUCCACUCGCCAGCCUCCCAGCUGCAGGCACCAGCAGGGCAGGGAAGAGGCGGAGACAUAGAUGAGAUGUGUGGGGCUGCCGUGGCAGCAGAGAUGGAAGACACACUGGACGUGGGGGCCUCAGAGGAGAGUGGGCACGUUUGGCGUUUGGAGUCUGGGUUCCUGGGGGGCUCAGCCUGCCAUGGCUUUCUUGCUGCCUACCGAAUGUCUGCCUUUCUAAUCUAAUGUUGUCUCUCUGCAGCCAGGAGAUGUUGCGUUGAGUGCAGAGUUCAGGACCCAGGGGGAUCCACAGCCCAGUUCCCAUUGAUGAUGGACCGGCCCCCAGGGCCACGAAGUGCUGCGGGUCAGAGACUCCACAGCCAUCAGGACGCCUGCCAGAGCCAAGGAUCCCAUCACAGCCGGGGCUCUGGAGAGAGUGAGUGAGAGCACAAAAACAGCCCCACCAUCCCCAGCCAGACCCAGGGACAUGGACAGGUGCCCGAUCAGAUCCUUCAGGCUCUGCUCAGCGCAGCUUGGCAGGUGAGAAUUCUCCCUCAGUGAUCUCAGUAUGGUGUUUUGUUGUUGAAUUGAGACUGUGCAAAUACGUGUGUGUGCAUGUGUGCAUGUGUUCAUGCAUGUGUGUCUACAUGUGUGUGCAUGUGUCUGCAUACGUGUGUGUGCAUGUGUUCAUGCACGUGUGCACAUGUGCAUGCAUGUGUCUGCAUAUGCAUGUGCAUGUGUGUGCAUAUGCGUGUGUGUGCGUGUGUGUGUGUGCGUGUGUGCAUGUGUCUGUGCGCAUAUGCGUGUGUGUAUGUGCUUGCAUGUGUGCAUGUGUUCAUACAUAUGUGUGUACAUGUGUAUGCAUAUGGGGGCAUGUGUCUGUGUGCAUAUGCAUGUGUGUGUGCACACACACACUGUCUUCCCUCACCAGACAGCGUCCAGCCACACAGAUGUCAGGGGCUCCAGGCUGACACAGGGUCCCAUCCUG
rnacentral:lncRNA from 10 species